GUACAAUGAGGGCUUAGUACAAGCCCGUCUUCUAGGUGGCGCCUUGCCCGUUCUGAAUUUUUGUAUUCCCCUACGAUUUUCUUUGAGGGGAAUCCGUUAAACCCGCCCAUCGUUCAAAAAUGGAAGGGCGCGAGGUCACAUCUAUUGGGCCACUUAUUAGCACGUUUCACCCAUGUUUUACGAAAAUAGCUUUAUCCUUGUUUGUUUCAACUGUGACAAGAAAAAAGGAAAAAAAGUUAUAUUCGCUUCUAAAUUCGGCAGUUUUGUUGAUCUUUCUCGACUUGUAAUUUCGUUUCGUUUAGGUUAUGUCUUAUAAAAAUAAAUAUUUAUAAGCUUUUGAAUUGAAAUAUACCUUAAUGCAUAUCUGAGUAAUUAAAAAAUUCAGUUUUUUCGUCCCUCGCGAAGAAACAUAAACAGUAUUUGUGAAAUUUGGAUUAGAAACUAUUAUUUUAUUAGUUUAUUUUGUUGUGUUUAAGUGUUGUGUAUUUGUACCUACUGGAUAAUAUUUUCCAACAUAUUUAAUUAAGCAAAAAGCAUCUGUUUUACAGGUGUGACUGCUAAGUGGUCGUACUCGCCACUUUAACCAAGCAUUGGUGGGACCUUCAGAGAUCAUAAUGCGAAUUUCUUCAUACCAUGUAAAUCUAUAUACAUGUAUUAAUAAAUGCGUUUGCUUUA